ensembl:snRNA U6 U6 spliceosomal RNA
AUACUCACUUCGGCAAAUGAAGUAAAGUUGUCCUGAUACAGAGAAGAUUACCAUAGAGCCUGUAUAAGGGUUACAUAGAUGUUUUGAGACAAUCCAUUUGUUUCU